UGACCAAUGAUGACCACUGGAGGCCUCUGAGUUGUGUAUCAUGAAUACGAUGUGUCUGGGACACUCAGUUACGA